rnacentral:rRNA from 1 species
UACGAAGGGGGCUAGCGUUGCUCGGAAUCACUGGGCGUAAAGCGCACGUAGGCGGAUCUUUAAGUCAGGGGUGAAAUCCCACGGCUCACCCGUGGAACUGCUCGGUAUACUGGGUCGCUUGAGCCACUUAGGGGCUACCGGAACAAAUGGUGGAGCGGUGAAAUGCGUAGAUAUCAUUUGGAACGCCAAUGGUGAAAACAGGUAGCUGGGAGUGUGCUGACGCUGAGACACGAAAGCCAGGGGAGCAAACGGG